AUUUCCCUGCGCUGUUGGUGAUCUACGAAAUAUUGAGCCAAACACUCUUAAAUAGGGUGGCUCCACUGCCAGCCAAUGGAAGUCUUCAUUGAUUACCAGCGGUUGGCAUGAGCGCUGCCCACCUAAUUCCUAUUAGGUUUAAUCAUUUCGUUGACACGGCAGUGUGGGGAUUUU
rnacentral:other from 1 species